rnacentral:lncRNA from 1 species
AUGUCCAGCUGGUGAACCGGCUCUGAUACCAAAAUGUAACGACCUAGCCCACUAGCAACAAUAACUCGUUGGGCCCAACCACCGGCCCAAAAUGCUUAAGCCCAGUUAUUAUUUCUAGCGUGUAGGCCUCAUAUAAACUGAUCGAAAUCAGUAUCCCAUCCGAUGUGGGACUAUUGAGGUGUCACAGGUUCGGGCCGGGCUUGAACAUGCCUAAAAAAGCUCAAUUUUUUUCGGGCCUAAAUUUUUAAGCCCGGCCCGAAUCCAAAGUUAUUUUUUUAAUACCCAAAGCCCGGCCGAAAUAUGGCCCAUCGAGUCGGACAUUGUUUAGGCUCGGGCCCAGUUCCACUCCUAACUGUAGAGAUAUUUUGAAAUAACGGAGGAACAUAUAAGAGGUAUAUUAGAAAAAAAAAAUAGGGAUAAAUAAAAUAUUUUUGAAAUUUUGAGGGGUAUAUAGGUAAUUAUCUCUAAAUUAAAAUAUAAUCUAUUUAAUAGUUUAAAAUUUAAAAAUUAUAAAUUAAAAUUUAAGAACUAAGUACAAACUGCGCUGGGAGAAUUUUGGCCAAUUAGAUUAGAGCAGUACGAUCCAUAACUUAGUCGUCUGGCUGAUCUCAGCAGUGCUGAGGCUCGAGUGCCACACACUCGAGAAGUUCUACACUGUCACGCUUGCACCAUGUCGUCAAUAAAAAAUCAAUCAUAUUUUUUUUUCAAAUAAAAGUAUAAUAAAAAUAUUUUUUUACAAUCAUGAUGAGACAUAUAUUUUUAAAAAAAUUUAUUUAAUUGGUUUGCAACGCCAUGUCACUAACAUACGCGGUGUAUUCUAUUAUUUUUCCACACACACCC